ensembl:lncRNA
GUUGGAAGUGGAACUGACAGGAUGUGCAGGUGCAGAAGCGGGAGAUGGGGGCUUCCAGGCGGGUAACCUUAGAAUGUGGUGACAGCGGAUAAAAACGGAACAUAAGUUUACCAUUGCAUUUAUAAUGCAAAGUAGAAGGGAGACUUUCACUUGCUGAACGACAUGAGGUUGAUUAAAUCUGUGCAAGGCGCCUCAUAAAGCCACUUGGCAUACCCGAAACCGAAUGAAAUGAUAAGCAGCCGGAGUGCAACAGAUUACCGGUCUGGCUUAGGGGAUCAUGGCUACUCCAGAGAGACUCAGCGGCCUGCUGAGAUUCAGAAACUCCUUGUGGAAUUCCGGACCCUUUACCACGAGCGCCUUCGACGCAUUGACCAAUCGGAUGACAGCCGGGAGGAGGCUCUGCAGAGCAAGGUGGGCGUGCUACAGUCGUUUGUGCGGGACCUGAGUGAGCAGAAUGAGGUUCUGAUCCAGGCGCUGGAGGCUGAGGAGGCGGAGGGCCGGGCGGUGGAGGGGAGAACAGUCAGCUUACACAAAGAGCUGGAGCGGCGCCUAUCCUUGGCUCUGUGCCCGAUGCCAGUAGACCUCGCGGGAACCACGGCAACGUUCCUCCGGACCCCUGGAGAAAUGGCAGACCAUUACAGGGAUGCGCAGACACACCUGUCUACCCAGGAUGCUAUACUUCAGCAGCUCAAAGAGGCCUGUCUAUCUCAGCAGGAAGCCCAGGUUAAAGUGGAGGAGCGUGAAGCCCAGGUCCAGGAGCUGCAGGACACCAUCACAGAGCUGCACCUGGAGAUGACCAGGAAGGACCAGGACAAGCUGACACAGCUGCAGGAGCUCCACCAGCUGGAGAGCAGGGUGAAGCAGCUCACUGACCAGGUCAGGAGCUCUGAGGAGACCAUUGGCCAGCUGAGACAGGAGGUGGCUGUUAGAGUGGGCAUCAGCAGCGCAACCCUGUGUGGGGGCGUGAGUACAGCAGGGAAAGUGGGUUAAAGCACAGUGUUCAUGCAUAUACUGUACAUGUACUGUUAUACGUUCCACAGGACAUGAUCUACUACCUGACCUACGUUUUAUAUAGGCUGUAAGGUCUAACAAUGCAUCAGUGAACAUAUAAUGAACUUGGAUCCACUCUGGGCUUUUCAAGUCUUAAAUUUUCAUCCAAAUGUCAUUUCUCUGUGCAAACAAGUACAUUACUAUAUGAUAGAAAAUGAUUGAAAUGUAAGCUAGUCCUAUAAAGUUCCAGUUAUAUUGUGUUCAUUUUCUCUAUUCUAAGACUCAUUACAUUUCAUCAGUCAUCCUGUUGUUAUUAACAUUCCUGUACAAGCCUACGCAUUCACACAUAAAUCACAUUAAACCCUCAUUUCCAGAUGAAUGCGUCCGUACAUGGUGACUCAGUCUCUCACACGGUCUGUCUGUAUGGUCUGUCUGUAUGGUCUGUCUAUGUGGUGUCAUGGGUUGGAGAUCAGGAUUUCCCCUGUAGAGCUGUAGAUCUUUGAGACCAGUGUUUGUUGAGAGGGGCUCUAAUGAUGGCACAUGUGGCCUGGGUUCUGAUGGCCCCAAUGUGGGAGUCAGGGCCAGCCUG